rnacentral:rRNA from 1 species
UACGUAGGUGGCAAGCGUUGUCCGGAAUUAUUGGGCGUAAAGCGCGCGCAGGCGGUCCUUUAAGUCUGAUGUGAAAGCCCACGGCUCAACCGUGGAGGGUCAUUGGAAACUGGGGGACUUGAGUGCAGAAGAGGAAAGCGGAAUUCCGACGUGUAGCGGUGAAUGACGUAGAGAAUGUGGAGGAACACCAGUGGCGAAGGCGGCUCUCUAGUAACGGGUACUGACGCUGAGACGCGAAAAGCGUGGGGAGCGAACAGG